rnacentral:rRNA from 1 species
UACGUAGGCGGAAAAUUAAGUCAGUAGUGAAAUCCUGCAGCUUAACUGUAGAACUGUUAUUGAUACUGGUUUUCUUGAAUAUAGUUGAGGUAGGCGGAAUGUGUGAUGUAGCGGUGAAAUGCUUAGAUAUUACACAGAACACCGAUUGCGAAGGCAGCUUACUAAGCUAUGAUUGACGCUGAGGUACGAAAGCGUGGGGAGCGAACAGGAUUAGAUACCCUGGUAGUCC